UACGGAGGGUCCAAGCGUUAUCCGGAAUCAUUGGGUUUAAAGGGUCCGUAGGCGGUUUUGUAAGUCAGUGGUGAAAGCCCAUCGCUCAACGGCGGAACGGCCAUUGAUACUGCAAGACUUGAAUUAUUAGGAAGUAACUAGAAUAUGUAGUGUAGCGGUGAAAUGCUUAGAGAUUACAUGGAAUACCAAUUGCGAAGGCAGGUUACUACUAAUGGAUUGACGCUGAUGGACGAAAGCGUGGGGAGCGAACAGG
rnacentral:rRNA from 1 species